GCCCUUUUAGCUCAAUUGGCAGAGCAACGGACUCUUAAUCCGUAGGUUCUGGGUUCGACCCCCAGAGAGGGCA
rnacentral:tRNA from 1 species